rnacentral:rRNA from 1 species
UACGGGGGGGGCAAGCGUUGUCCGGAAUCACUGGGCGUAAAGGGCGCGUAGGCGGCUCAUGAAGGCUGUGGUGAAAGUCCGGGGCUCAACCUCGGAUCGGCCGUGGCGACUCGUGGGCUGGAGCACUGUAGAGGCGGGUGGAAUUCCGGGUGUAGCGGUGGAAUGCGUAGAGAUCCGGAAGAACACCAGUGGCGAAGGCGGCCCGCUGGGCAGUGGCUGACGCUGAGGCGCGACAGCGUGGGGAGCAAACAGG